UAUUUGCAAAUGUCGUAUUAUUUCGAAUAAGUGGCAUAACACAGUUGGUAAGGAAUUGGGGUUAAAUGGUACAAGAGUGAGAGGUCCCGGGCUCGAUCCCCAUUUCUAACUUUUCUCCGUUUUAUUCGUUUUUUAUUUUAGUUCUAAUUUCAUUUUUAUUUAUUUAAAAAUCACAAAAAUUGCAUUUUUAUUAUUUUAAUAUUCAAUUUUCGUUUUUACUAUUUAAGCAUUAAUUUUUUAAGUUUUUCAUUUUUAUUCAUAAAAAUACACAAAAAAAAAAAUUAAAAUAUAAAAAGAUUGAAAAAGAUUUUACACUUUUUUUUAAUUGAUUAAAUAUAGUCAUAAGUCUCUAAUCAGAUAAUUUUGGGCCUUUGAAUUAUUUCAAUUAGUUUUGGUUCAUGCAUUUUUAACCUAAUUUUUUUUUUGUAUAUAUAACAACAACGAAGACCUUAUUUGGGAGAGAUUUUUUGUCUCAACCCUUAUGCCAGCCCCUCACACGUAUAGCACACGACGAUUAAUUUGUUCUUCGCACAGUAAAUCUCAUUGUUAACAAUAACAACCUGUACAAAAUCAUCAUCCAAUAACCUCCAUGUCAAUACCAUGACAUCACAAAACUCAUAAACUUACAAUAACCUGUAACAAAAUAAUAUACAGUAAUAAAACACAGGUUGGAGAAAGAAGACUCAAAACAAAUCCCACCCGAUCCAGAUUUGAACCGCCAUAGUCAUGCCGUUAUACUACAAACGAGCGCACAGCACAAAAUCGGAAACGCCUCCGACUGCUAGAUCCGGUCACAUCCACCGCCGUUGAUUCAUCGCUGGUAAGUCUUGAUGCCGUUUCUGCUAUUGAUUUCAUUUGGUUUGGGUUCUGAUGCUAUUUGUUAAUAUUUGUUUUCUAAUGGCUUUGUUUGAAUCAUUACCAAUUUGCUUGUUCUAAGAAAAAUAAAGGAAAAAGGAUAUGUGUGGUUUGUGUCGAUACCGCAGCGUGAGCGAGAAAGCAUGAAUUUGGGAAAAGUGGUUUUAGAAAAUUGCUUCAAUUUCCUUUUUUUUUACUAUUGUUUUAUUUAUCUAUCUUUCUAAUUUUCUUUUCAUGAAAAGUGACGUCAAAAGAACAGGGGUGUGUAUCUCCACAUGCUGUUGCAUUUUUUCUUAUUCAUUUCCAAUAAAAACUAUCUCAUUAGUCUCUUAUUAAAAAUUAAAAAAAAAUGGUGAUUUAGAUUUUAUUUUUCAAUAUUACAAAUACAAAAAAAAGAUUUGGUUAGUUAGAUUGAUCAAAUUAAUUUUUAGGUAAGAUAUGUAAUUAGAUUAAUCAUUUACUUAGGUUAAUUAACAUAAUUUUUUUUAUUAUUAAUUCACAAAUAAAAAACACCAAAAUAUUUCCUCUAUAUUUUAAUUAGGUUGAGUAUGUAACUUGUAAAUAUUCGACAAUUUGUAUAUCUAUUGUUACUAACAUUUUCUUGUUUGUGUGAGGUACUAUCAUCGUGAGCAUUGGACAAUUUUGCAGACAUUCACAGCUUAUGCAUGCGUGGAUUAAUCUAACAUUUCAGGGUCUGCAGUCCCAGAUCAAUCAAGGUUAAUCAAGAUUCUUCCGACUACGCGCCAUGCCAAUCAAGAAGCUAAGUUUCUAAACCUUUGUUAUUUAUUUAUUUCGUUUUAAUAUUAUUUUAAUUUUUAUUUUGCCAGUUAGGAUCUAUUUUCAAAUGCCCAUGAAUCUCUCCUACACUCACUGCUUUCUUUUCCUUUGUCAAUUCUCCAAUGGUCAGGGUCAAUGCUUCUCAUGCUCAAGGCAAAACUCUGCCCAUCAACCUUCAUUAAUCGAAGCUAAAGGUUCGUCGAGUUGCCAAAGCUACGGAUAUUGGUAACCCUAAACCUUAACCUUGAUAUUUUUCUUCGUUUAUUAUUACUUAUGUCAAACCCUUUUAAGGGAUCCGCUGGUUUCUUAUUCCCUUCCCCCACUAUUAUGUAACUGUUUACUGGUUGUAUUGUUUGGCCUUGAAGGCACUUAAAUUAUAUUAUAAUAUUCUUAUUGUGUGGUUAGUAAUGUAGGGAGUGACAAGAUUAAUUAAUCAAACGUUAGAUCACUAACAAGAUAAAAUAUUCGAAUACAACCACGUGAUUGUUGCACCCACACACCUUUAGGGUAAUCCCUCUGGUUGCCUUUGUUGCCUGUUGCCUUGUUGCCUUUAAGUGUACUAAAUAGUCAAAGUCCCUCGAUUCCGAGGAUACCUAAAGCAAAACAAAAUGUUGCCCUAAGUUCAUUAUCAUCAAUUCUGCCCCUCGAAGCUGCCUCGGUAAAAACAUGAUGAUUGUCCCAAUUGCUAAGGUAUCCUCGCAUGAUGCCUAAAAAGAUUAAUGACUAUUAUAUCCUUCCCUUAGACUACAUGCCCUCUUUAUGGCAUGGGACAGUCUUAUGGCGAACGAUUACUCGAUGACCCUUAAACAUCCAAUUGAAAGACUUCCUGCCCUUUAUAGCAUGGAUAGAUCCUUUCGCCUCGAAAAGCUAAAAGAACGAAUUUUCAAACUUAGGGUAGUUGCUACUAAUUGCUCGCUCUUUUCAAAUUCAAAUUAAAAAUACUUUUCCAACUCAAUUUCAAAUACUUUCAAAACAAGGCUACGCUUAUUUACAAGCUAAAGUCCUUGGACAAAGUUUUUACUUUUUACACACUGCUCUUUUCAAACAAAUCAAACAAACAAAGUGAGCUAAGCAAUUAAGAGCCCAUGGAUAACCAUGGAUGCAAAGGGUGCCUUACACCUUCCCUUUGUAUAACUUACCCCCCGAACUCAAAAUCUUUUUAAAAGGUCUUUUCCUGUUCUUUUAGCCUUUCCUAAAAUUGGAUAAAAUAAAAGUCGGUGGCGACUCUUGCUUACCGCAACAUUUUCAUUAUUAAAAA